rnacentral:rRNA from 1 species
AAUUCACUAGUGAUUGAACGCGAAGAACCUUACCUAGGCUAGAAUGUGAGGGAAGAGAGGGUAAUACCGAUCGUCUGGGAAACCAGACCCAAAACAAGGUGCUGCAUGGCUGUCGUCAGCUCGUGUCGUGAGAUGUUGGGUUAAGUCCCGCAACGAGCGCAACCCUUAUCAAUAGUUGCCAUCAUUAAGUUGGGAACUCUAUUGAGACUGCCGUUGAUAAAACGGAGGAAGGUGGGGAUGAUGUCAAGUCAUCAUGGCCUUUAUGCUUAGGGCUACACACGUGCUACAAUGGCCGGUACAAAAUGUCGCGAUCCCGUAAGGGGAAGCUAAUCAAAAAAACCGGUCUCAGUUCGGAUUGGAGUCUGCAACUCGACUCCAUGAAGUUGGAAUCGCUAGUAAUCGCAAAUCAGCAUGUUGCGGUGAAUACGUUCCCGGGUCUUGUACACACC